rnacentral:misc_RNA from 1 species
GGACAUUACCGAGUUUACAACUCCCAAACCCCUGUGAACAUACCGUUUUCGUUGCCUCGGCGGGAGGCCCCGGGGAGUGGAGGUCUGGCGCCCCGCGCGCCGCCGCCGCCCUCCCGGACCCCACGGCUGCCCGCCGGAGGACCCCAAACUCUUGUUUUACCACACGUUUUCUUCUGAGUGUUGGCGAAAGCCGAAAAUCAAAUCAAAACUUUCAACAACGGAUCUCUUGGCUCUGGCAUCGAUGAAGAACGCAGCGAAAUGCGAUAAGUAAUGUGAAUUGCAGAAUUCAGUGAAUCAUCGAAUCUUUGAACGCACAUUGCGCCCGCCAGUAUUCUGGCGGGCAUGCCUGUUCGAGCGUCAUUUCAACCCUCAGGCCCCGGUGGGGCCUGGCAUUGGGGAUCGGCCCGCCCUCGUGCGGCGCCGUCCCCCAAAUCUAGUGGCGGUCUCGCUGUAGCCUCCUCUGCGUAGUAGCACACCUCGCACUGGAACGCGGCGCGGCCACGCCGGAAAACCCCCAACUUACGCAAGGUUGACCUCGAAUCAGGUAGA